GCGAGUCAUUGUAGUAAUACAAGGCAGACGGCUCAGUAACGCGUACUCUACCUAACCUAUGGACGGGAAUAACCUCGGGAAACUGAGCAUAAUGCCCGAUAGAACAUUAUACCUGGAAUGAUUUAUGUUCCAAAUGAUUUAUCGCCGUAGGAUGGGACUGCGGCCUAUCAGUUUGUUGGUGAGGUAAUGGCCCACCAAGACUAUUACAGGUACGGGCUCUGAGAGGAGUAGCCCGGAGAUGGGUACUGAGACACGGACCCAGGCCCUAUGGGGCGCAGCAGGCGAGAAAACUUUGCAAUGUGCGAAAGCACGACAAGGUUAAUCCGAGUGGUUUCUGCUAAAGGAACCCUUUUGUCGGUCCCUAGAACACCGAUGAAUAAGGGGUGGGCAAGUU
rnacentral:rRNA from 1 species